rnacentral:rRNA from 1 species
GAUAAACGCUGGCGGCGUGCCUAACACAUGCAAGUCGAACGUCCUCUCUCGCAAGAGAGAGGGAGUGGCGGACGGGUGAGUAACACAUGGGUCACCUACCCUUAAGUGAGGAAUACCGGCGAGAAAUCGCCGACAAGACCGCAUAGGCUCUCUCUUUUGUCAAGAGAGAGCAAAGCUUCGCAAGAGGCGCUUGAGGAUGGGCCUGUGGCCGAUUAGCUGGNGGGUAGGGUAAUGGCUUACCAAGGCGACGAUCGGUAGCUGGUCUGAGAGGACGAUCAGCCACACUGGGAUUGAGAACGGCCCAGACUCCGUACGGGGNGGG